GUGCACUUUAGAAGAAAAAAGGAGAAGAGAGUAACAGGCAAGAGUUGAGCUUUUGUGUUGAUUUUUCAAGGGCGAUGGCACACAAACUAUAACACCCUUCCGAAUCUAGGUCCGAUUAAAAACAACUUUUCUGUAAACCGAGAAAGCUUCUCUGACUCAAAAGCUUCAAAUACAAGAGAGACAGACAGUUCUACUCUCCACACAAAACUGUACACCGGCAGCCAUGACUAUAUUUUGCGGCGUUGCGAGACAUCAACAGAUAGACAGAAACGGGGGGAGGCGAGGAAGAGAAGAGG